AGACCCGAAACCCGGUGAUCUAGCCAUGGGCAGGUUGAAGGUUGGGUAACACUAACUGGAGGACCGAACCGACUAAUGUUGAAAAAUUAGCGGAUGACCUGUGGCUGGGGGUGAAAGGCCAAUCAAACCGGGAGAUAGCUGGUUCUCCCCGAAAGCUAUUUAGGUAGCGCCUCGUGAAUUCAUCUCCGGGGGUAGAGCACUGUUUCGGCUAGGGGGCCAUCCCGGCUUACCAACCCGAUGCAAACUGCGAAUACCGGAGAAUGUUAUCACGGGAGACACACGGCGGGUGCUAACGUCCGUCGUGAAGAGGGAAACAACCCAGACCGCCAGCUAAGGUCCCAAAGUCAUGGUUAAGUGGGAAACGAUGUGGGAAGGCCCAGACAGCCAGGAUGUUGGCUUAGAAGCAGCCAUCAUUUAAAGAAAGCGUAAUAGCUCACUGGUCGAGUCGGCCUGCGCGGAAGAUGUAACGGGGCUAAACCAUGCACCGAAGCUGCGGCAGCGACGCUGAUGCGUUGUUGGGUAGGGGAGCGUUCUGUAAGCCUGUGAAGGUGGCCUGUGAGGGUUGCUGGAGGUAUCAGAAGUGCGAAUGCUGACAUAAGUAACGAUAAAGCGGGUGAAAAGCCCGCUCGCCGGAAGACCAAGGGUUCCUGUCCAACGUUAAUCGGGGCAGGGUGAGUCGACCCCUAAGGCGAGGCCG
rnacentral:rRNA from 1 species